UCUAGAAAUUAGGCUAGUGUGAUGCAGAAUACUGUUGUAUUGUAGCAGUAAAGUUGGUUUUAUUAUUAUUAUUAUUACUAUUGCUUUGCUUUGUCAUUCAACCCACAUGGGGGCAUUUCUACUCAAGUUCUUAUCUUUCCCACUUUCUAGUUUUUUGUUAUUGUUGUUUUUGUUUUUGCUAUGUUGUGAAAUUCUUUAUUAUUAUUUCUUUUAAUCUUAACUGAAAUAGAGUGAAUUUGAAAGAAGAAUUUCCAGGUUUACACUAACUGAGGUGUUUCAAUGUAAAAAAGAAAAAUUUGGGUGCACCUCCACUGUCAAAAAACCUGCAUAUUUAAUAAAUUAAUUUAGGAUUCUUAGCUAAAUCUCAAGGCCUUACUGGCUAGAUUAAGUAACCAAAACAGUCUGCCUACUGUUAUAUCCAGUUGCUCAGUACACUCCUUUCUUUUGAGAAGUCCCCACGCACAUUUUCAGACUUAACAGUUUCAAAGUCUAAUUAGCAAAAAAUAAAAUAAAAAAUGUAUGUAUAUAUACACAUACACAAUUUGUACUUAAUAUAAAAUUUGGGCAAUGCACAGAAAGAAUCUGAGGGAAUCUACUGGAGGUUCAUAUGGUCAUGUAUUUUUCAUUUCUUGCUUUUAAUUAUUGCCUUAUUGCAUUACCUGUAGUUUUUGCUUUAUUGGGAGGCCCUCACCAGUUACCCUCAUGGAAAAGACAGGAGAACUUCCCCUUCAGCUGAAAUCGAAAGACCACGUCUCACAGAGCCAGAACUCAUGUGUUAUACUUCAGGAACAAGGGAAGUAUUCAGUUUACCUGUUAGUUUGAUUGUAAGCUUGUUUUCAUUUGGGUGACAAGCUGGGGUGUGAAAUUGUAGAAGUGAUGAUGGAAGAUGGAGACAAUCUAGGACAAAGCAGUAGAUUGAAAAUUGAAUUUCUUAUAUUGUGGUUUACAUAAAUAAAAUCAGUUCCUUUGAGUUUGCUGGUAUUCAGUGCCCUGUGGGGUACUAUAUGCCACUGUCCUCUUCCAAUGCUAAUAAAUACAUCACCCUGGGAGAUCAAAACUAUUAAAGUAGGUGAGUUUUUCAGUUUUUGUAUUAAGUCAAAUUGCUGCUAGAGUUUCAAAUCUUUCCAUGUCAAUUUGUCUAAGUUGGAAGCUCAUCUAAACCAAUGUUUGUAAAGGUAAGUGAUCAGGAUGGCAAACUAAAAUAUCUUUCAGGAACACAACCCUUUCUUUUUUUUGUCUGUUCCAUCCAAUUCACUCUGUCCAAUAAAAUUCUAUUUCCUGGGGAAAGAAAAAUUUCCUUAGAUCUAUGUUCAGAACAUCACUGCUACAGUAAAGAAGUAAUACAGGAAUUUACCACAGUGGAAAAGUAUUACAAGAGCAUUAUCAAAUUCACUUAAUAGCUAUUGAAAAUUCCUAAUUUUUCUCAGUGUAUAUAAAGAAGAGGUAACUAAAAUUUAAUUCAGUAUAAAUACCAAAUUCUAAGAUGUUCAUUAGGAGAUGAUUAGUAUUCCUUAUGCAGAAGCACAUAUUAGAACAUCUUACAGUGUAACGUUCCUAGCUUUUUUCAGGAAAAGAAAUGAAUGUCUUACUUGUGGCAUAUUAAAAAAUUCCCUUAGUUAAACCUUCCAUUUUGCUAUUUAACUCAUACUAGUGUAGAUAUUUGAAUAUGUGUUUACGUUUAAAUUUAGAGUUCUACAUAUUUAUGAUUAUUAUUUUAUUUUUUUUAAUUAAAAUUUAGAGUCUACCAUUUUCUUCUGAAGAAGAAAACUUACCAUAGGUUGAGACUGUAUAAAGUAACCCUUGUAACGUGUCAGACUGCUCUUCUGCCAUCUCUUUUCCGUGACUGCUGCAUGGUAUCUGGGCUGAUGCUAAUCUAGAAGGACAGUCACACCUCAUGAAAGAAUCAUCACUGCUAAUCAAAUCAGAAUGAAACCCACCACUCUGCAUCACUAGAGACAUUUCACGUGCUGAAUAUUUCAUGCACUGGGGUCUGUGGCUGUAGAUGAAAUUCUCUCAACAGCUCUUUGUUGCGUGCAAAUAUUUACUCAGACACUGUGGUGUGGUUGAACUGGUGUGCAGUAACACCAGGAAGCCUUGAGUGAUCCUUAUAAGUAAUGGUAAUUACAUGUGACUCCACACAUGCUAGGUCAGAGUGACUUGCAGACAGCCUCUUGCUCUGUCAACGCUCCCCUUGCCUGCAUGAUUAAGUGGGCAGUGUGCCACAGGAAAUUUGAUGCAUACAGGAUGACAAAUGUCUGUUUUGGCUGCUGAGAAUUGAACUCAAUCGUAGAUCUGCAGAAACAUCAAAACACAAUCAAGGGCUGACAUCAAACCCGUGAGCCAGGAGAAUUCCUGAGGCAAAAGAGUUGAACUUGAAAGUACAAGGAAAGUGUGUUUUGCUUUAUACAGUAGCACACCAGUUUGUUUCUGUUGACUUGUUAGUAGGAGGGAUGGAAGAAGUAACGCUCAGAAAAAUAAGUCUCUGCCUUUUCAGUUAUUCUUUACACUAAAGUUAUAGCAGCAGAAUGGCAAAAGAGCAGAACAAUACAGAACAGUAAGUUUGCUUUCUGUUUCUAUAUUUAACCUUUUUUUGUUUGUUUGUUCCCCUUAAGUAUGAUGUAUGUAGGAUGAAAAGUGUGCUGAAUUCUUCUUUACCCUGACAGUAUCUCCCUGUGACAUCAGACUGAACUGUGUUAUAAAUAGUGGCCCAGAUGUUCUGCUAACCUGCUGCUUUUGUCAGUGCUUAAUCUGAUUUUGUGGCUCUUACAAAAAUAACUUCUAUGGAUGUUGUUACUUGCCUGUUGCUUGUAUUUGUUACCAUGACAAAUUAUGGCAAAAGGGGUAAGGCUGUGGAAUAGUAUUUAUUAUACAUCUCCCAGUGGAGGUAAAGACUCUGUUCAUCUCACUUUACAGCCCUAGGACUAGGUAUGCACAAACUGAAUAGCAUUGUAUGUUGAUGUGUAUGAUGGAAUACACUUCCAGGCUGGAAGCAUGCCAUAACUUUACAACACAAACCCAUCUUUGAGUGGAGCAUAUUUUCCUUUAUUUUUUUUUUUUUUGUGUGAGUGAUGAUAGUGGAUAGUGGAUUCUACAUCAAGUUUAUCUUGUGGACUUCAUUUUACCUAGAGCACUUCUGCUUUGGUAUUUCUGGUGCUCACUCAGCCUCACAAGGUUUAUUGCUCUUAAUGACUACAAAUGAUGGAAAAUGUCCUGUGGAUCUGACUUGAUGUUCUUCUGGAGCCAGUACAGCUCUGGGAGCUUGUCCCUGCAAAAGAAUGGAGCUGGAAGGCAGCUGUCCAUGAGGUGAGGAACUGUAGGUACUGAUUUCGUAAAACUGGCAAACUGUUCAGAAAUGAAGCAAGUUUAGAUUCUGUAGUUUCCAUUUCUUGUGCUGAGGUGACCACAAAGAAAUUUCCUUUAUUUCAGAAACAAUCCCUUUUCAUGUGAAGUGGAAGAUGUCUUGAGAAAAUUGAAGUUGGUCUUGGAUUAAGGUAGUAUCAGAGUUAAUUUUCUGUUGUGCUCACUUCUUGUAAAGCACAAAUGUUCUCUUCACCCCAAGGAGCCUACCAUCGCUUUUGUCAUCCUACUACACUGAAGGUGGGGACAAAAUACUUUCUACUAAGCAGGAGUUCAGGAGUUGUGAAUAGGAUGUUUUGAUAAGAGUUAUCUUCUGAAUUUGUUCAGUCUGUGGAGUUGACCAAAAUAAUGGAACACUGAAAGCAAUUUGAAGCAGAUGUCAAUACUUGUUGGAUAAAUCACUUUCAUUAAACAAUAUUAUCAGGUUCUAGUCAUCCAUGAGGAGACUGAUGUCUCUAAAACAAAGGCUUCAUAAGGAGUUCAAAAGUAUGUUGCAAAGGAAUACUUCCAGGGAUGGUCUCCAAGCAGAAUUCCUCAGAGCGCAACUUCUGCUCUGUCUCAGUUGUACACUGUCAUAUAGUUCUGAUAUUAUGAAUCAGUGAAAACUUUAAUUAUUUUAAUCCCAGAACAAUUUAGGAUACACAUACUCUUCUGGAUACUGAGGAUGUAGUUGUGUUAAGUACAGAGGAUCAAAACCAAAACAGCUCCUCCCUCUGUGUACCUUGUUUCAACUGCACUGGACAGAUAGUGAUAAACAGAAGCAUCUAUCACUAGUGAUACUAGCCAAAACUGCUUCAGUAAAGGCUGGAGAUACACGAUUAACCCCUUGCAAAUAAAACUUUCAUGGCCUAAAAAAGAACAUCAAACUAGAAGCAAAUAAAACCCAAAAAAUAUCUCUGCAGAUAUACCAAGCAAGCUCUGAAAACAACUCAGCUUUCUUCCAAGAAUGACAGAUUUAUUUUCUGGAUGAAAAUGAACAAGUUUGUCAUACUCCCAACUGUUUGCUUUCAGUGUACAAACUGCUUUUGCAUGCAGCAGCAUAAACUCUGCUUGCCUCAGGCUUAGGGUCUUGAGCUCCUCUAGUCAGUGCCUGCGUCUGUACUGGUAGAUGGAAACUGUUGCUUUCAGGCAACCCCUUCCUCAGGCGUGGUCUCUCUUGGGGUUUAUGAUUUCAUAGAUAGUCUACCUCUGGAAAUAUAAAUUGCUCAUUACAAGCUGGAGAUUGAUAGCAUUCUUUUUUUUAAGGUGUUGCCGAUUUUUGAACAGCAGAACUCACAAUGCUAUAUGUGCAUUUGUCUAUCCAUAAAUGCUUGCUGUGGUAAGCAGAAUGCUUCAAGAUGUGGGCAUGGUUGUUUGACACUGUAAACAAAGCAGCAUUUGUAAAGAAUUUUCUUCAGGCACACUAUAUGUAUACAUGUACAUCAUCUUUCCACAAAAUCUUGGUGUUGCAUGAUGUGGCUUUACUAUUUCUUCUUCUGGAUAGACAGUCAUCCUCUUUAAACUAGACAAUCUGAAAGAACUGCUGAUUAUCCUUUCUAGUUUUGUUUUUCUUUGUUUUUUACUUUCUUUGCAAUGAUAAUUCUGAAGAGCAUUUCAAAUCUUGCAUGUUUCAUCCUUUUGAGAAGGCAAUUAAUCUACUGCUGUGUAAGAUAUUUUUUGAGAAUUCUGGGCUUCUUGGAGAACCUUUUUUUGCAUCAUGAUCUUUCUCAGGAGCCACUCUUUCUUUUCUGAUCUGUAGUGGUGUAAUACAAAUUCAUUCAACAUAUAUCCUUGCCCAGGCUGGAUAAGGUCCUGGGCAACCUGAUCUAGCUGUGUUGUCUCUGUUCAUUGAAAGGGAAAUGGUUUAGAUGGCCUUCAGAGAACCCUGCCAACUCUAAGAAUUCUAUGAUAUCAAGAAAAGCUGAAAAAGUUAUGAUGUGAUGUAUCAAGUUUCCGUGCAAAUGAACUUCACUAUUCCGUAUUUAUUUAAAGAAAAUCCUGACUGAUUGCUAGCAUUCAUAGCAUCUUAUGGUAUCUAAUAAAUGAACAUGUCAUUACUCUUGAGUGUUGAGCAGCUGCAUGGAAUCCCUUAAUGCAGCUGUUUUUUGGUUCUUUGCCAUUUGCUUAGUACCUGGGAAGUACUGAGUGGUGGUUAUAGUAAGAGUGUGAUUUCUACACUGCGUGUAACACGCAACUUACUUCUGUUAGCUCAUGCUUGCUUUCAGGUUUUCCUGCUGCCUUAUGGGUCAUAAGGGUAUCUUAUCCUGCAGGGUUUCUGCUGAACGCAUCAGGACUGUUGCUUGAGUAAGAUAAUAGAGAUAAGAGUAAGAGCUGUAAAAUGUUACCAAGUACACAGAGAGAAGGUAAACUGUCUCUUUUAUUAAAGAGAGUUUCAUUUGUAUUUUUCUUUUUUGAUGUUACCUAAAAAGAAAUGUUCUGUAGACUCUAUUUCACUGCAGUCUUCCAAGUGAAAAUGUAUAAGGCUCAAAAUUUCCAUCCAUUUUGUGGCUGACUAAAACAGUAUGACAUACCUGCAAUGAGUUGUCUGAAACAGCAUAAUUACAGUUUCUUGGGAAAUGUGUGCUAAGGAAAUCUUACUUGUGACUAAAAUCCCCUAAUAAGUAAAAGAAACUUUAAUGCAUGUACAUUGUAAGUGCUUGACCUGAUCUUUAGAGCAAGGUCACUGAAUUUCACACUAGCAGCUACAUUUCAAAACUGGUACAUCUUUGGUAAUAUCUUGUGUAUAUGCUCGAUCUAAACUGUUUUACAUACUAAACAUUCUUUGCUUUUGAAAAUUGGGAAUUACAGUCCCUGUCAAAUUCAUUCAGAAAGAAAUGAAGAAAAAAUGGAUCUUUUUUUUUUUUUUUUUUUACACCUACUUUAAAGCAUAAGUGUUGCCUGGGCUGCACUAGGUGAAGAGGAAUUGUCUUGAUCUGCAUAUAAAAUAUAUGAUGUAGUUAAUGUCUGUAAGUACUAAAACUUCUUUUAUUUUUAAUUUUAAUUAAAACAUAAAAAGGAUGGCAACAGAAACAGGAAGCUAGUGGGAUAUUUGAUCUUUUUUUGUGAAACCCAUGCAUCAUUCUGGUUUGAUGGAAGUGUCUGCAAUUCUCAGUGAGUUCUCAAAUGAAAAAAAAAUAUUUGCCAAAACUUGAGCACGUCAUAAGGUAAGUAUCAUUUUGAACAAUAUUAUAGUUUGAAACACAGCACAGGCAAGUUUCACUGUGAAGAUGCACGUUCAACUCACUUAAAUGAGCAGUAAAAUCCACCAAAACACUAAACGCUGUCAGUGAGCCAUUUUUCAUCUUCAUGUUCUGACACAAAUUUUCCAUUUGAUUCCAUAAAUGGUUAAAAAUCACACACUAAUGGUAAAAUUUAAAGAUCUUUGGGGACACAUUACUAGAUGAUUUGAGCUGUGUGUGGUCUGCUGACAGUGGGCUGGACAUGGCUGCUUUAAAGAGUGAAUAAAUUAAUGAGAAUGUGUUGUGCUUCUCCUGUUUUCUAAUGGUUAUAUCUCAGAAAAUAAAUAUCUUCCUAUAUCCUUUUUCUAAGAGGAACACAAGGAUACUUCAGGCAGAAUCAGAAAUAAACUUCAAGUAAUUGAAGUUCUGCUUUAUCUGCUUUUCAUUCCCUAAUGGACCUUUGUCCCCCAAAAGACUGAGAUGAGAUGGGUAUGUCCUGAUUAAUGCGGACUAUUUACCAUUUCUGCUGAUAAGCUGGGGGAUGCAUUAAAUCUGCCUCAGCAAGUGGCAGUGAAGUUUCAAAUAGUAACGAGGACAGCUGCAUCUUCAUUGACUCUUGAAAGUCAAGUGCUUCUAAACUCUUUCUCAGCUUCUGAGACUGCUGAUGUGAUUCAGUUAAUUUUGAAACUGUAACAUCAAGGAUUUUUGCUGUCUUUUGUGUUGGUGGAAAUACUACUAGCUGUAGUUAUGAAGUUAUUACAAGUAUUACUUGUAAUGGUUUUUGGAUAGUGGUUUGUAUCAAACUAGAUAUAUAUUUUGAAUGAGCAGUAAAACAGCUCACAUCCUACCUUGGAAUUUGAAAUUAUAGAGCUAGACAAGUACUUGACAAUUACAUGAGGAAAUGAUGGAUCCGAGUGUUCAGCUUCCUCAGGUGUGUGCAUCUCAGACUUUAUGGAUUGCAUGUGCUUGGUGCCUGAGAAAGAAACAGUAGCGAUUACUUGAAAUACUGCAGGCCCUCUGUAUUCUUGUCAAGGUGAAGGCUUUAGCCUCUUAGGUGUUUUUUUUGUUUGCUUGUUUGUUUGUUUUUCCCUGUAGUACUGAAGAAGUGCAUGAAAUUUAGAUUUCAAAUGCACCUGACCAUAAUCUCAGUUUGAAAGCAGAGAGGAAAUAAGUAGAUACUUUGCUCAUUUCUGCUUCAAAACAUAGUAAAAGCAGGAUCUGAAAUGUACGUAGUCCUCUGGUAUUGGACUGCCAAUAUCAUCUUUGCCAGCACCACAAACUGCUAAAGGACCAGUGCAGAAGUAGCCACUACUCCCAUUCAUUUUUCCAUGCUUUCAUAACCAGUCAUGUAAGCUGCAGCUCUUGCCCGACCUUUUGUUCUUUGUUUAUGUUUUUUCAUUUCUUUAUUCAUUCCUCCCAGCUACAUUCAUUUCCAUACUGGUCAGUGAACUUUGCCAGUCCUCUCUGACAAAUUCCUUGUUUCUGCUGCCCUGACCUUGUUGAAUUUUACUCUCAGGGAAGAAAAUAGUUUCCUUGGGAAGACUUCUACUGUUUCUACAGGACUGAGAAGCCUUGAACAUAUCCCAAAUAGAGGUUUGUGUAUUCCUCCCAUGGAUGAUGGCUCUGUACAGAUUAGAGAAACUGUAAGAAUUAUAUGAAGAAAGAUUGAAGGCCAGAAGCUCUUCUUUUAAAGCUAAGAAUUGCAUCACACUGAAAGAAGAUACAGACUCCAACAGCAUUUAGAAGCAUUUAUCAUGAAGGUACUGGAAAGUUAGAGUUUGUAAAUUCAGCCAACAAAUGUAAUGCAUCAAGAGCAAGCACAGUGCCCAGACGUGAAAUGAAAGAAGAAGCUGAUGAGAACAAAUAGAAGAGAGCCAUGCUGAGACUGCAGACUGUGCCAGCUAUUGUCCAUUUGGAGGACCACAUCUGGUUACAGUGUUGGAAAAACAGAAAAAAGGUGAAAAGGAUUAUAGCAGUAAGAGAUAUAUCAGUACAGCUUGCAGAUGUUCAGCCAUUUCCUGGAAAGCUGGGCUUCAUCAUGCAUAACUUACUUGGUAAGGCAAAAGUCCUGACUUCAAACAUCUCCUCUUUCUCCUUAUUUAUUCCACUUCUUAUUGCUGCAUAUAAUGUCAGUAUGCUAUGAGAUAUCCAUUUGAUCAGUUGGAGUCAGAUGUUCUGUCUGUGUUCACUCUCAGCUUUUUGUGCACCUCAGGCUUGCUUACUGGCAGGGGAGUGUGAGAAAUAGAGAACACCUUGACUCUGUGUAAUAAACUACAGCCCGUUGCGUCAACUUCAUUGACCAACAUCUUUGUGUUCAACCAGCUUCCUCAACAGUUUCUCUAUGAGUUAUAGAGGGAGCUGUUUUUGAGCUAAUUCUUUUCUCUGCUUUGUGCUGGUUUGCCAUGGUAACUAUGUGUGCCUGAGUACUGCAUUUAAUAACAGGUUAUGGGAUUAUAUCAUAAAUUUUCUUUAAGAGUGGCAAGUUUACAAUUUUUCUAACUGAAAUGCUCAGUGCAAAAGAGUCAUGUAUCUUCUCCACCAACUUAAGCUAAAGCAGAGCAGGCAUUUUAGGGAAAAUAUUCUAGUCCUAUGUGGGAAACUAUUUGUUCCUCUUGCAAUCAGAAUGUGAGAUUGUUUUUACAGAUGGUUUUGUUAGUUUUUGCACUUUAGAAACCUGAAUAUGUGGAAUUUGGAGAAGAAUAGCAGUAUUUUCUGUAAAGGAGUCCACUCCUGAUGUUGUCAGUGGGAGCUGGACUAUAGGAAGUUAUACUCUAAGUAAAUGAUUUGUGUUGUAAAUCACUUGUUACAGGAAAAUAUGCUCCUUCAACAUUUUCUUUCUAUGAAUUCAUCUACUAUUUCUUAAUGGUAGUGAGAUACAGGCAAUAUUGUUGGAGCUAAACUGAAAGACUUGAUGGAGGGAUGGAGCAGGAAGAGCAUAUUAACCAAGCAGCUGCAGUUUCACAAUUUUUGUGAAGAUGUUUUGUAAGCUAUUAAAUGUUAAGCCUGGGUCGGCCAUAUUUGUAGUGACUGGUUCAUCAGUCACAAGGCUUUGCAGUGCGCUAGCAUUGUGUUUCUUAACAGAGAGCUCUUCUGACAGCAAUCCGGCCAAGGUGAACCCAGUAAGGAUGGGAAGAAGAUUAAUUCACAGUGUAGUGUGUCAGACACAGGGAUGAAAUAUUAAAAUUCCCUCAUAGAUUGUGUGUGUUUCCUAUUAAUUUUGUCUCUUACUAUGGUUUCAGAAAAUGGGGGAUUUUUUUAAAUUAUUAUUAUUAUUUUUUUUUCUCUGAAGCAUCUAUUGCAAUUGAGAAAUGCAUCAGACCUCCCUGAAAUAGCUGACACUAUCAUUAGGUUUGAAAUAAAGCUUACAGCUACUCUUAUUUCAUACUCAACCAUCUUAUUGUUUCAUUGUCAUCUUUCUGAUAUGUUUGUUUCUACCAAUCUCCAGUCCUCCGGCAUACCAAGUUAUCUUUGUCUUUGACAAACAAGCUGAGUGACCAGGGCCUGACAAUGCCACCUUCAGUUCACCGAGCUUCCAAAUGACAGUCCAGUGAGUGAUAAAGUGAUUAAUCUAUCACUUUGAAGGACUGUUCUCUGAGAGUCCACAAAGGUAAUUUCUUCCUAUGCAUAGCAUACCCUGGGAACUAAUGUGGGAAGAAUUAAUGCCAGGAUAUGCAAAAGUGGUUACAGAAAGAUAAACAUAUAUAUAUAUAUAGAUAUCAGAAUAUUCAUCCUAUAAAGUAUAGAAAUUUGGAUCUCAGCAGGGCUUGUUCUUUGAUUAUACCGUUUCAAAAUACUGAUAAUAUUGCAAAGGCUAAUUGAUAUUUUAAUUAGACAAAAACAAAUGAGUUACAGAUGUUAUUCUAUAUGUGAGAAAUUUUGAAAAGAUGUCUUUUAUUUUUAAUCUUUUACAGAUUUCUCAGAUACAUGAAAUCUAUCAGUCGUCUCUGGGGAAAUUUUCUAAUUUUCAAGCCGUUUUUUUCUUCUCUAGUCACCCUGCUUAUUUGUCUUGAAUAUUAAACAAGUGCCUCUCAGAGAUUAUUACUUAGAAGCAUUGGCUUGAUCAAAAUUGUCUAGACCAUGAUGUUGUACUGUAUCUGUCUUUUCAGAGUUUGUCUGGUUAAUGCAUUGCUUUUUCUGCUUUGGUUUUCUUGUUGCAGAUUUAAUGCAACGUCUUUAAUUGUUUAGAUUGUUAAUGAACGCUGAAAAGUAAAGCAGUGUUGUCACAGAAUUUCCCUGUUGUUUGUUCUUCUCUCUGUAUUGUCAAACCCAGAGAUGUGGCAUUAGUCAUAUCCUUUGACAAAAGACAUCUUGGACACAGAACAGCAACAAAAUGCUAUCCACUGUGGAGAUAUUUUUUGAUGGAAUGUGGCCCCAUGAUUUGAUGCAGCUGGAGCUGAGCAACCCAGUACAAGAGGCUACUUGAACUGACCCAGAUGGGAGUUAAUGAGGAAGUCUGGCAACAGCCAAUCUGAACUGGAUGCCAAGGGGAGUAAUCGGGUCUCAGCUGUGUUUGUUUAGCACUAUAAGAAUACACCUUGCUGUAGGGGGUGUUUGUUUGAUUCUUUUAAUAAAGCUGGAAGAUGGGUACUACUAUAUUAGUGUCAGUCUGUCAUUCUGUUCAUCUAGCUGUAGGUGCUGUUCACCCUGUUUGUCAUUGCUGGUGGCGAUAAUCCACAAUGGAACUUCUUUUUGCUUUUUCUUCUACCUUAUGAUUCUAGUGAUGUGCAGCAUAAAGGAAUCUCUCCCAGCCUCCGUGACCUUUCAGAAGUACUUGACAGUGGUCUUACUGUGUCAUCACCUAACUUCCUUGGCACUUACAAAUGAAUCUGUGAUAAGUUAGUUGGACUGGGAAAGGACUGUAAAAGAGAAGGCAGAAGCUAGUUCCAUAAAUGCACUGCACUUCAGGAAAACAAACCAUGCUUUCAUGCUGUCAUCAACACAGACUGAUGAUUUAUCAGCUAAUUUCAUGAGAAGCCACAGCUUUAAAGUUCUGUUUCAUACUCCAGAACUGUGAAAAGCCUCAAGUGAGAUGAAGCUAAAGACUCUUCUAGUUUGAAGAAAGUUCAGCAUGUUGUACUGUGCACAGCAUAGCAUUGACCAAGUUGCUUUCUGUUCAGGAUAUGUUAUUCAAUGGCAAGAGUAAAAGGUCUGUAACGAUACUCCCUUACAACUGAAAAUGAGAAUUCUGUAUCAAGUGUCUAGGUAAGCUUGGGCUGUGAUGGCUGUCAGUAUCCAAGUAUCUCAGAUUCUUUCUGUCUCUUUGAGUUGCUCUGUCAGCAAAUUCUUCUUGGAGACAUACUUUUUGCUUGAGCUCAGCCCUGCUGCAUUUGGUUGUGCAGAAAAUGCUGUAAUGUAACUUUAGGGUGAGUGACUUUUAGACAGUGAUGAAUUUCAGAGCUCAGCUGCUUGGAAGCUAUAAUUUUGUGAGCAGUCAUGUUACGGAUAGCUUAUUGUCAAAAUAAUGUUUAAGUGUUAGAAAUGUUGAGCUAAGACAUGGGCUACUCAAUGAAUAAAACCACCUGAGAAGGUAGAAGUGAACAAAUACUCAUGUGUUGGAGUUCAUGCAGGUUCUUGGCACUAGAACAGAGUAUCUUCUAUCAAAGGGAAAAGAAGAGAAAAAAUUUCUCUUUGCUUGUGCACAAGUCUGUAGCCAUACUGCAAGUUGUGGGGAGCAGAACUAUUGAGAAUAGGGGGAGUAAGGAGGUGGGUAGUGUUGGUUAACUAAAAUUUAAAAAAUAGGAAAAAAAUCUGGUUUUCCUCAACAAGGAAUUGAUGCAGCCAGAGUAAAUGGAGUAGUGAAACUAUCUGGGAACAUAAGAAGAAAGAAGAAGGAGGAAAUAAUAUAAUAUGGGCAGGGGGGAAAAAAAAAAAAAGAAAAAGAAAAAAAAAAGGAGAAUUUAUUUUUUAUACACAAAGCAAAAGAUAUGGGGAAGGUUUUAUUUAUUAUUAUUAUUUUUUGAGCAAACUCUGGUGAUUUACAUGAAUUUUUACAGCAUCAAAAUAAGAAUGCCUUAGAGCUCUGAAUUUAGUGUUAUUUCAUGGGUAAAUGUGAACAAAAGUGAAAAAUAAAAAUGAAUGAAAACCAAUGUGGCACUACAUCCUGAAUGUGAAUUCCCGUGAAUUUAUUUGUAAGUGCUUGCUUCCUAUUUAUAUAUUGCUAUAUCCCUUGCUCCAAUAAAGGAGCAGAUACUGGAAUGAUAGAAGCAGCCACAUGGAUUUAUGUCCUGGAGUUACUUACACUAGAGCAAGCUUUGAAAGAAUACAUAUGUGACAACAUAUAACAUGAACAACACCAAUUUGCAAACAAAAUUGCAAAAUUUAAGCUAGUUUUAUAGUUAUUUACUAUACACAUAGUGUUUUUAAUAAUUAAAUAAGGGUUUUUUUAGUGCAUCUAGCAAAUAUCAUGUUCUUUGGUGCUUAUGAUAUCUUUAGAUAAGUAAUAUGAACACGGGACAUGUAAAACUGCACAGUUCUUUCUUCAUCUAAACUGAAGAGAUGCAUAAUGAUCACUAAAUAUAUAAAGCAGGUAAUUUUAUAGACCUUUCUAAGUUAAAUCAUUGGUUUGACUAAUUUGUAUAUAAAAUGAGCUCUUUUCCUAAUUACACACUUUUUAAUCAAAUAUUGUAGAUAAUAGAGGAUACUUAAACUGAUGCCUCAGUUACAGAUUACAUAAAAUAUUAAGCAGAAGGUCAGUGCAAAGGCCAUAAACCACUUGAACUUUGAGGGCUUUAGCAACAAUUAGGUAACGACUUCAAGAGGUACCCAACUUCAACAUAUAAUUAAAAGAAGGAGUAAAAGAAUGGAUGGCAUUCUUAAAGGCAUGGGCUCUUACAAAUUAUUUCUGAGUUUCAUUUCUAAUAUUUAGGCACCUGUCAGAGACAGACUGUGAAAUUCAAGAGCAUGUUAAAGAAAGUAGGCCCCAAGCAUAAUUUAUUUUCCUCUGUAUUAGGAUUGUACAUGAAGAGAAAAAAAAAAAAAAGAAAAAUCAUAAAUCAGGGUAAGGCA